GAGGGUAUAGCUUAAGCAGUAGAGCGUAUGCAUAGCAUGCAUGAGGUCCCAGGUUCAAUCCCCAGUACCUCCU
rnacentral:tRNA from 1 species